rnacentral:lncRNA from 1 species
GAAAAUUGUUUAAAAACUUAAAAAAAGCAUAGAUUUGGAAGAGAUCUAAAGAGAUCAGAAAAACCUCAAAAAUAGGGUUUUUAGAGUAACACAAACGAUGAGAAAGGCUUGGAUCUAAGCAAGAGGAGCCGAUACCAGGCUUCGAAAUUGACAUAGCUUACCGGAACAGGCCCAGAGAUGGCCGUGGAACGUGAGUCGACAAAGAUUUGGACCCAACUCUUCAUGGCCGAAUCAUAAAGCUUCAGUUAAUCAAAUGUGGGCAGCCACAGGUGGCUUGGUGGGUGGUGAAACCACGGUGGAUUUAGGUUAGAAAGUGGACGGAGAAGAUGGACAUAAUUUAUCGGAGAGGAGGGGAGGGGAAGGUUCUAGAGAGAACCCGA